AGAAUGAGAGUUGAGUUUCUCGU
rnacentral:snRNA from 1 species